GUGCACGCUCGGCACCCCUUGGCGUGACCGCGCUCCUCGCCUGCUGCGCAGCUCCGUCAAACCCUCACCUGAGAGGAAUCACCCAGGCUUGGAGCAACUUUGUGGAGCAUCCCGGGCGUGGCGGGCCUGGAGGCAGUCCUCCUGUAUCCACAGGCCCUGAGGUGCUGGUGCCUAUGGGUAAAAAAGCCCACUGAGCCAGACCCAGGCUGAUCCCAGCCCAGCUGCACCCAACACUACCGAGUCACAGGAGUCCCGCUGAGGCGCUGUGAGCUUGGAGGGAGGCCUGCGAGAGGGAUCCUAAGGCAAUGUCCUGGCUGUCUUGAGUCUGUGGGCUGCAUAGCCUCCUGCCCAACUCUCGGGGCUCUGACCCUGUCCAGCCCUGACCAGCCUCAAGCUGAUUCUUGUCCCCACCUGGUCUGGGGGGCUCCUCGUGCGUCAGGGCUCAGCCAAGCACUGCAAGAGUUACGGUGUCACGUGAGCCUCCCUCUGGGAUCUGGCAUGAAGGAGAAAUGGAUUCUGGAUUUUCCACUCUGGCUUUCCCUGACUUCUCCAGAAUUUAAGAAGCACCCCGAGGCCUCUCUUGCUCAACCUCAGCCC